GAGAACCUGCCCCCUCCCCCGGGAUAGCCGCCCGAAAGGACGGGUAAUACCGGAUACCCCGGGGCGCCGCAUGGCGCCCCGGCUAAAGCCCCGACGGGAGGGGAUGGCUCCGCGGCCCAUCAGGUAGACGGCGGGGUGACGGCCCACCGUGCCGACAACGGGUAGCCGGGUUGGGAGACCGACCGGCCAGAUUGGGACUGAGACACGGCCCAGACUCCUACGGGAGGCAGCAGUGGGGAAUCUUGCGCAAUGGGGGGAACCCUGACGCAGCGACGCCGCGUGCGGGACGGAGGCCUUCGGGUCGUAAACCGCUUUCAGCAGGGAAGAGAGAAGACUGUACCUGCAGAAGAAGCCCCGGCUAACUACGUGCCAGCAGCCGCGGUAAUACGUAGGGGGCGAGCGUUAUCCGGAUUCAUUGGGCGUAAAGCGCGCGUAGGCGGCCCGGCAGGCCGGGGGUCGAAGCGGGGGGCUCAACCCCCCGAAGCCCCCGGAACCUCCGCGGCUUGGGUCCGGUAGGGGAGGGUGGAACACCCGGUGUAGCGGUGGAAUGCGCAGAUAUCGGGUGGAACACCGGUGGCGAAGGCGGCCCUCUGGGCCGAGACCGACGCUGAGGCGCGAAAGCUGGGGGAGCGAACAGGAUUAGAUACCCUGGUAGUCCCAGCCGUAAACGAUGGACGCUAGGUGUGGGGGGACGAUCCCCCCGUGCCGCAGCCAACGCAUUA
rnacentral:rRNA from 1 species